UACAGAGGUCCCGAGCGUUGUUCGGAUUCACUGGGCGUAAAGGGUGCGUAGGUGGCUUGAAAAGUUUGAUGUGAAAGCUCAGGGCUUAACCCUGAAAUGGCAUUGAAUACUGUCGAGCUGGAGGUUUGGAGGGGGGACUGGGAAUUCUUGGUGUAGCAGUGAAAUGCGUAGAUAUCAAGAGGAACACCAGUGGCGAAGGCGAGUCCCUGGACAACACCUGACACUGAGGCACGAAGGCCAGGGGAGCAAACGGGG
rnacentral:rRNA from 1 species